rnacentral:rRNA from 1 species
GAAUCAAGCUUUAAAGGGCACACAGUGGAUGCCUUGGUGCUAACAGGCGAUGAAGGACGUGAUAAGCUGCGAUAAGCUUCGGGGAGCGGCAAAUACGCUUUGAUCCGGAGAUUUCCGAAUGGGGUAACCUGAUGCUGGUAAUUCGGCAUCGUCUUUUCCUGAACAAAGAUAGGGAAAAGCACGCGAUACCCGGUGAAGUGAAACAUCUCAGUAACCGGAGGAAAAGAAAGAGAAUCGAUUCCGUAAGUAGUGGCGAGCGAAAGCGGAACAGCCCAAACCGGGGACUUGUCCCCGGGGUUGUAGGACCCCGCCGUGGGACCUCGACGAAUAGGAGAAGUGCUUGGAAAAGCACGACAGAGAGGGUGAGAUCCCCGUAUCCGAAAUUCCGAGAGGCCCUAGGGUGUUCCUGAGUAAUGCAGCACACGUGAAACGUUGCAUGAAUCUGCGGAGACCACUCCGUAAGGCUAAAUACUAGUUAGCGACCGAUAGUGAACCAGUACCGUGAGGGAAAGGUGAAAAGAACCGCUGCGAGCGGAGUGAAAUAGAACCUGAAACCGUGUGCCUACAAGGUGUCAGAGCCGACUUGUUCGGUGAUGGCGUGCCUUUUGCUUAAUGAGUCUGCGAGUUAGUAUGUGUGGCAAGCUUAAGUCCUUAUGGGACGCAGGCGAAGCGAAAGCGAGUCCGAAUAGGGCGACAUCAGUUGCACGUGCUAGACCCGAAGCGGAGGUGAUCUACCCUUGGCCAGGUUGAAGCGUCGGUGAUACGACGUGAAGGACCGAACCGGUGAAUGUUGAAAAAUUCUCGGAUGAGCUGAGGGUAGGAGUGAAAGGCUAAUCAAACCCCGUGAUAGCUGGUUCUCCUCGAAAUGCAUUGAGGUGCAGCGUCGUGUGUUUAUGAAUGGGGGUAGAGCACUGAAAGGGCUAGGGGGCAUACCCGCCUACCAACCCCUAUCAAACUCCGAAUACCAUUCAACAGAACACGGCAGUGAGACGGUGGGGGAUAAGCUUCAUCGUCAAAAGGGAAACAACCCUGACCAGCAGCUAAGGUGCCCAAAUUGCGCUAAGUGGAAAGGAUGUGGGAUUUCUUAGACAGUGAGGAUGUUGGCUUAGAAGCAGCCACCAUUUAAAAAGUGCGUAAUAGCUUACUCAUCGAGAGAUCCCGCGCCGAAAAUGAUUGGCGAUAAGCGCAAUACCGAAGCUCUGGGUGUCAGGUCCUGGGACCUGGCGCGGUAGAGGAGCAUUGAGUAACGAUAAGACGGGUGAAAUCCCCGUCCGCCGUAAACCCAAGGUUUCCCGGGCUACGUUUUUCGUCCCGGGGUUAGUCGGGACCUAAGCCGAGGCAGAUAUGCGUAGGCGAUGGACAGCUGGUUAAUAUUCCAGCACUUCCGCCCCUUAAACCGGAGGGACGCAUCGAUGGAGGUGAACAAGUGAUUGAAUUCUUAGGUGAGGCCACGGCCGAUCCGCAUCACCAAAAUCGGUGCCAAGAAAAGCUCCGGUGUAUGCUAAGGAACCCGUACCGCAAACCGACACAGGUGGGUGGGUAGAAUAUACCAAGGCGUAAGAGUGAACCCUGGUUAAGGAACUCGGCAAAUUGGCCCCGUAACUUCGGGAUAAGGGGUGCCUAGUUUACUAGGCCGCAGUGAAACGGCCCAACCGACUGUUUAGCAAAAACACAGCAUUCUGCCAAGACGCAAGUCCAAGUAUAGGAUGUGACACGUGACCAAUGCGGAAAGAUUAAGAUGAGAUGUUAGCAGCAAUGCGAAGCUUCGAGUCCAAGUCCCCGUGAAUGUCGGCCGUAACUAUAACGGUCCUAAGGUAGCGAAAUUCCUUGUCGGGUAAGUUCCGACCUGCACGAAUCGUGUAACGAGUUGGGCGCUGUCUCAACCAGGUGCUCAGUGAAAUUGUAAUGGCGGUGAAGAUGCCGCCUACCCGCAGAAGGACGGAAAGACCCUAUAGACCUUAACUGUAAGCUGUCAUUGGU